rnacentral:tRNA from 1 species
GCCCCGUUCGUCUAGAGGCCUAGGACACUACCCUCUCAAGGUAGCGGCACGGGUUCGAAUCCCGUACGGGGUA